rnacentral:rRNA from 1 species
UGACAGCCCCGUACACAAAAAUGCACAUAUUGUGAGCUCGAUGAGUAGGGCGGGACACGUGGUAUCCUGUCUGAAUAUGGGGGGACCAUCCUCCAAGGCUAAAUACUCCUGACUGACCGAUAGUGAACCAGUACCGUGAGGGAAAGGCGAAAAGAACCCCGGCGAGGGGAGUGAAAAAGAACCUGAAACCGUGUACGUACAAGCAGUGGGAGCCUCUUUUAUGGGGUGACUGCGUACCUUUUGUAUAAUGGGUCAGCGACUUAUAUUCUGUAGCAAGGUUAACCGAAUAGGGGAGCCGAAGGGAAACCGAGUCUUAACUGGGCGUUAAGUUGCAGGGUAUAGACCCGAAACCCGGUGAUCUAGCCAUGGGCAGGUUGAAGGUUGGGUAACACUAACUGGAGGACCGAACCGACUAAUGUUGAAAAAUUAGCGGAUGACUUGUGGCUGGGGGUGAAAGGCCAAUCAAACCGGGAGAUAGCUGGUUCUCCCCGAAAGCUAUUUAGGUAGCGCCUCGUGAAUUCAUCUCCGGGGGUAGAGCACUGUUUCGGCAAGGGGGUCAUCCCGACUUACCAACCCGAUGCAAACUGCGAAUACCGGAGAAUGUUAUCACGGGAGACACACGGCGGGUGCUAACGUCCGUCGUGAAGAGGGAAACAACCCAGACCGCCAGCUAAGGUCCCAAAGUCAUGGUUAAGUGGGAAACGAUGUGGGAAGGCCCAGACAGCCAGGAUGUUGGCUUAGAAGCAGCCAUCAUUUAAAGAAAGCGUAAUAGCUCACUGGUCGAGUCGGCCUGCGCGGAAGAUGUAACGGGGCUAAACCAUG